GAUCGGGAGUGACAACCCUGGAAACAGAUGCUAAUACCGGAUAACAACAGAUGAUGCCUAUCAACUGUUUAAAAGAUGGUUCUGCUAUCACUCUUGGAUGGACCUGCGGUGCAUUAGCUAGUUGGUAGGGUAACGGCCUACCAAGGCGAUGAUGCAUAGCCGAGUUGAGAGACUGAUCGGCCACAUUGGGACUGAGACACGGCCCAAACUCCUACGGGAGGCAGCAGUC
rnacentral:rRNA from 1 species